rnacentral:rRNA from 1 species
AUGGCUGAAGUGCCAGUGCUUUUGCAGGGGCCCCAUGACGUCAGCCACCGUUAUCACCUAUUCUUGAACACAAAUAAUGAUGAUGACCCUCGGACUUUCAGACUUCGAACCGUAAAGAACACAUGGUCAAUACACGAUUCUUUCAUUCCACACCUUGAGGCUUAUGGACUACAUGGUUAUGCUAGGCUCACAUCAUCCGAAGACCAAUUACGUUCGGAUCCAUCCCUUUUGACAUCCCUCGUUGACCGGUGGAGACCUGAAACCCACACCUUUCACUUUCGUAUUGGGGAGCUUGCACCUGCACUGAAAGAUGUUUCUAUAAUCACUGCUCUACCAAUUAGAGGUGAGCAGUUAGUCUCUCCGUCAGUGACUCCAUCUUGGGCAUUAAAUAUCUCAGCCCGUAUUAGGAUGACAAUUCCAGAAUCACAAUGUUCUGGUGGCCCUCAGGGCGUCCCACUCGCCUGGCUUCGUGCAAACUUUCAUGGUUUAUCUAACCAGCUGAUUCUGAGACGAGGAAAAGGCAUAUGUUUGCAUAUUUGUUGUGGCUCCUCGGGACUAUGUUUCCAAAUUCACACGGGGACGUAG